GCUGGGUCCGCUGGCUACUGGGUCGUGAGUACCGAUUACGUUAAUUAUGCCGUCGUCUACAGCUGCAAAAGUCUAAUAAUCGCACAUACGGAGAAUGUGUGGAUCCUCACGCGUGAGCGCGUUCCCUCUGACGAUAUUGUAAAGGAAGCUUUGGCUGUGCUUGUUUCCCAAGGUAUAUCUACGGACCCUUUGACUGUGACCAAUCAAUCAGGUUGCUCAGACGCAUGAAAAGGAAACCACAACAAACUAUGGAACCACGAAGUCUGUAAACUAUCCGAAACGAUGUAAAUAUUGUACAUAAAACAAAUAAAACACUACAAAUACCUGCAUCAAAAUG